GUAGGUGAACCUGCGGAAGGAUCAUUAAAAAUGAAGCCGGGAAACCGGUCCUUCUAACCCUUGAUUAUCUCAAUUUGUUGCUUUGGUGGGCCGCGCAAGCACCGGCUUCGGCUGGAUCGUGCCCGCCAGAGGACCACAACUCUGUAUUAAAUGUCGUCUGAGUAAACUUAAUUAAUAAAUUAAAACUUUUAACAACGGAUCUCUUGGUUCUG
rnacentral:misc_RNA from 1 species